UCAUCAGGUAGGAUAAUCCUUACCUGUUCCUUUAUUCAGAGGGCAAAUAGAGCAUCAUGAUUGGAGUUUGCAUGAUUUGAGAUUAACAUAUCUGCAUGUUUAGGGCUCCCAAUACCCUAAUUGCUCUUAUCAGAU
ensembl:snoRNA U8 U8 small nucleolar RNA